UUUCGAGAGCAACGGCCAUGAAACGGAUAUACUAAAUAUGGAUGUGGUGUGGCAAAUUUAGGAGAAAACGUCAAAACCGACAGCAUGAUAAGUCUAACAGCGAAUACCAUUCGAUUGCAAUCAUUCCUAUGCCUAGUUUUGCACAUAAAUAUUGUUUUCUAUCAUAUCAGCGCAACGCCUCAGAGCAGUUUGAAUGAAUUCAUGGGUACGGAACGUCCAUAUUUCGAUGAUGUUAACCCUAGAAAUAUAUCGACAGUAGCUGAUGAACCGGCGAUAUUAAGAUGUCGCGUCAAGAAUAAAGGCAACCGUACGGUUUCAUGGAUGCGCAAACGAGAUCUUCACAUACUAACAACUAACAUCUACACCUAUACUGGCGAUCAGCGAUUCUCUGUUGUACAUCCGCCCGGCAGCGAUGAUUGGGACUUGAAGAUCGAAUAUGCGCAGCAGAGAGAUAGCGGAAUUUACGAAUGCCAAGUAAAUACCGAGCCGAAAAUUAAUUUAGCCGUAUCACUGGUUGUCAAUGCUGAGGCCGAUAUUAGAGAUAAAAUUACUGAAGCCCAAUACUACGAUGCGAAAGCUGCGCGUGCGAAAAUUCUCGGCUCGACAGAGAUUCACGUGAAGCGGGAUAGUACAAUAGCACUGGCCUGUUCGGUGAACAUUCAUGCUUCUUCCGUUUCGUGGUAUCACGGCUCAUCGGUUGUCGACUUUGAUUCCCAGCGCGGUGGAAUCAGUCUAGAAACGGAGAAAACGGAUGUGGGUACCACUAGUCGUUUAAUGCUAACACGCGCUUCAUUGCGUGACUCUGGAAAUUACACCUGCGCACCAAUUGGCGCGGUACCAGCGUCAGUACGAGUACAUGUCCUCACUGGUGAACAACCUGCGGCUAUGCAAACUGGUACAGCAGAUAGCGUCUUCAUAGAAAGUCCUGCAUAUUUAAUAAUUGCUGCUGUAUUUAUUGCUGCUUGGAACCAAUACUUAAUCAUAUCACAGACGACUUCCAGCUACGCCAACUGUAACUUGUAUCAACGAAGGUGACUACAUACUCAAUGACUAACUAUUUUUCAUUAGUUGAAAGCAACUGAAACUAACAGCCAAUGCAGGCAGCAACAUAAAUUUGGAGACCUAAAUUUCCACUUAUGUAAAAAACGAUGCAACUAUGCGAAGCUGGCUGGGUAUUCUUUAUAUACAGAACGCAAUACCACACUGAUCAAAGACAUUUGUAAGACAAACAAUAAUACUAUUUAUUAUUAUAAUAAAACUUAUCACGAUGAUAUAAAUUGCAAGAUAACACCGUGCGAUAAAAACAAAACAAUUUUAAAAC